rnacentral:rRNA from 1 species
UGCAGUCGAACGGAUUUAUGUGAUGUAGCAAUACAAUGCAUAAGUUAGUGGCGAACGGGUGAGUAAUACAUAGGUAAUCUACCUUCGAGAUAGGAACAACCCAGGGAAACUUGGGCUAAUGCCUAAUAGGACCACGGGGCGGGAGCUCUGGGGUGAAAGGCAGGGGCAACCUUGCGCUUGAGGAUGAGCCUAUGGCCUAUCAGCUAGUUGGUGAGGUAAGAGCUUACCAAGGCGAAGACGGGUAACCGGCCUGAGAGGGCGAACGGUCACACUGGGACUGAGACACGGCCCAGACUCCUACGGGAGGCAGCAGUGAGGAAUUUUCCGCAAUGGGCGCAAGCCUGACGGAGCGACGCCGCGUGAGGGAUGAAGGCUUUCGGGUCGUAAACCUCUUUUGCAAGGGGAAAAGGUUUGUAUGCUAAUACCAUGUAAACUUGAUGGUACUUUGCGAAUAAGCCCCGGCUAACUACGUGCCAGCAGCCGCGGUAAUACGUAGGGGGCGAGCGUUGUCCGGAAUUACUGGGCGUAAAGGGCGUGUAGGCGGUUGAAUAAGUCUGAUGUGAAAUGCCGGAGCUCAACUUCGGAAUGGCAUUGGAAACUGUUUGACUGGAGUUCGGUAGGGGUGACUGGAAUUCCUGGUGUAACGGUGAAAUGUGUAGAUAUCAGGAGGAACACCUGUGGCGAAGGCGGGUCACUGGGCCGUAACUGACGCUGAGACGCGAAAGCGUGGGUAGCAAACAGGAUUAGAUACCCUGGUAGACCACGCUGUAAACGAUGAGUGCUAGGCGGUGGUGUAUCGACGCCAUCAGUGCCGCAGUGAACACGAUAAGCACUCCGCCUGGGGAGUACGGCGCAAGAUUAAAACUCAAA